CAGGUGUAGACAUUGUGUGU
rnacentral:piRNA from 1 species